AUUUUAUUAAAACGGGAACUCAACAAUUCUUAUUGGAAAUUAUAUCAAAGUCGAAUUUAACACCCAAAAUUGAGUCAAUUUUUGAGUACAAGUAACAUUGAAAAUUUGUUGGAAAUAGGUUGGUGGGGGAAUGAUAUCCAACUGCAUAAACUAAAAUUAAUAAUUAACUAAUGUAGUACAUUGGAUCGGGUAACUUGAAUGUUCGAUUUCCUGUAUUAGUCCCCAAGAGAUCACUCCAUUGAUCACCUAUGUUUCCAACGAUUCUGUAUCCACUGCUCACAAGCUUUGCCCUUUCACUUGAUUUGUAGAAAGCUGCUGUUUUUCCUGAAUAAGACGAUGCCUUGAGUACAAGCUUCAGCCAUGAACGGUAACCCGCCUUCUUCAGAUUGUUGGUUGUGACAGUUCUCUGGUCUUCAGUUCUUCCUGUUAUGAAGACUAUUUUGAUUCCAAGAGAUUGUAGUUUCCUGUAAAGAUUCAGAGACUCUGGCAACGCUGGAGCUUUGCCUUCCAGAACCCAUUUGUUGAACAAUGUGGCGUUGUACGGGUCAGCCCCAAAUCCAUGCUCAGCAUAGUAAGGUAAGUUUGAAAGUGCAGUCUCGUCAAUGUCAAAGACCCAUAUAUCUUUGCCGUCUCCGUCCGGCUUGAGGCUUUGAGCAUAGAGAAAAGCCUCGUCGGUAAUGGCUUUAGAAUCCGCCCUGUAUUGUUGGCCUAACAUGUAGUGCCCUACAUACCCUUCACAUUCCGCAGGAACUGUUUUCCAUCCAAUAAUAUUGUUAGUUUCCACACCAAGUCGCCAACUUAGGCAAGUUACGCCGGGAACAUGGCUGCCGGCCGCCCCGGAUUGCGGGCGAAGAAGGUGGAUUUGGCGAGGGAUGCUGAAUUCUGAGCCAUAGGAUUGAGAAGUCACUGUAAUUGCUGCAAGGAACAGUAGGAGUAGCAACGAUGCCAUGAUAAUUUGGAG
rnacentral:misc_RNA from 1 species